UGAGUCGGCCGGGUGGUCGCGGCGUGGGCGUUCCGCACCGCGUCGAGGAAGGUCGGGGCUCCGCAGGGCAGGGUGCUGGCUAGCGGCCAGUCGGGGUGACCCGCAGGAAAGUGCCACAGAGAACAGACCGCCGAUGGCCUUCGGGCACAGGUAAGGGUGAAACGGUGCGGUAAGAGCGCACCAGCACCCGGGGUGACCCGGGUGGCUCGGCAAACCCCACCCGGAGCAAGGCCGAAACGGGGAGG
rnacentral:RNase_P_RNA from 1 species